rfam:Erinaceus europaeus unplaced genomic scaffold scaffold00202, whole genome shotgun sequence
GGAUGUGAGGGCGAUCUGGCUGAGACAUCUGUCACCCCAUUGAUCGCCAGGGUUGACUAGGCUGAUCUGGCUGGCCAGGUGGGUGUCCCCUUCCUCCCUCACUGCUCCAUGUGCGUCCCUCCCAAGGCUGCGUGCUGGGUCGAAGAGGAUGGCCUUCCCCGGAUAGAGAUAGACCGGUCUUCUGUUAAGGGUAUACAAGUAGCUAUGCUUCCCUGCUAGAACUUCCAAACAAACUCCCAAGUGGGAAGCAGCCAUAAGUGAGAAUGAUACAGAGACUCACAAGUAGGAAACCAAUCAGAUUGAUGUGGUAAACAGUUAUAUUU